rnacentral:rRNA from 1 species
GACGAACGCUGGCGGCGUGCCUAACACAUGCAAGUCGAGCGAGUGGAGUUCUUCGGAACAAAGCUAGCGGCGGGCGGGUGAGUAACACGUGGGCAACCUGCCUCAUAGAGGGGAAUAGCCUCCCGAAAGGGAGAUUAAUACCGCAUAAGAUUGUAGCUUCGCAUGAAGUAGCAAUUAAAGGAGCAAUCCGCUAUGAGAUGGGCCCGCGGCGCAUUAGCUAGUUGGUGAGGUAACGGCCCACCAAGGCGACGAUGCGUAGCCGACCUGAGAGGGUGAUCGGCCACAUUGGGACUGAGACACGGCCCAGACUCCUACGGGAGGCAGCAGUGGGGAAUAUUGCACAAUGGGGGAAACCCUGAUGCAGCAACGCCGCGUGAGUGAUGACGGCCUUCGGGUUGUAAAGCUCUGUCUUCAGGGACGAUAAUGACGGUACCUGAGGAGGAAGCCACGGCUAACUACGUG